AAUAUGUUUUUACCGAUUCAAAACACAAAUCUAAGUAUAACGGAUUUCAUCCUUCCUCCGGCUUUCUCCUUCUCUGCGACUUACCCGGCAAUCUAACCCUAAUCCACAUCCAAAGAAGAACAAUUGCAGUGCAGUCACAGGGGAAUUCAGGGCUUAGCAUGUGGAUAAUGAUACAUGAAAAGCUUAUAAGAAGAAAGAAACGAUUGGAGUUACUUCAGAUGAAGGAUGUGGGCGAGGAUGUUUGCCACUAUGGAUGCUUGGAGUAUGUGGUGCUGGUAAACUAAAGAAGCAUGAUAAUGGAAAUACAAGCAACAAUUCUUUAGAUGAACAACUUGCAUCUGAAGCUUUACAUCCCAAGGAUGAAACUGGUUCAGCUCAAAAUGUGGCUGCCAUAGAUGGGAAAUUAAGUAUUGAAAAUUUUUUACAUUCCCUUGCACAAUGUGAACCAAAGAGAAGGAAAAGAAACUCAUGUUGACAAGAUACAGAUAGGCUGGCUGCUCAGGAUCCUUCCAAUAACAAAAAAUGUAAAGACUAGGUAGGAAAGUUGAGGAAUGUGGUCCUGGGAGAAAAGGCAGCAAUGAAGUUGAAUCUCGGAGUGACGAUGAUAAUGGGGAGCUCGCAGCAGAGAUUUAUUAAGCAUUGCCGAAGAGGACACGCUGGUCUUGUUUUUAGGUCAUUUGCUUAAGAAAAGUCGAGAGGAGGAAAGAAAUUCUGAAGUAAUUUCAAAGGAUAUGAUGUUCCACCAUGAUUUUCAAAAGGAAAGUCAAAAUGAUGUCUAAGGGAUAAGGUCUCAUGUUUACUUGACUGAGUGCAAAUCUUCGACCACUAAUCUUGAUCUCCCAGUAAUAUGGAUGAUGUAUACGAUGUUCACAAAUCCGAUAGGGUAAGUGCAUAUAGAGAUGUAACAUACUUGAAAAUAACAAGGACUGGAUAUAUGCAAAAUUGUUUGUUAGUGCUACUGUCUUGUUGCGUCUCUGGAUUUUGUACUUCGGUAGGUGUUAAAGAUGUUUAAUCAACUGCAGACUCUGUUCCUUGCUAUGGAAGAGGCAAAAGUUGUUUCUAAAUAUUUAUCAUGCCUAUAAGUUGUUAGUAUUUAAAUAAAAUUUGCCCUCUUGGUUAACUUUGGGAAAUCCUAGAUCCUCUAUUCUUUAAAUAGAACUUUAUUUUCAGUACUGUGCAUUUUAAACCUACUAAGGAAACCACAAAUAAAUGGAUAAGCAUUAAAAUAGGGUUAUACAAAAUUGUGUUGUUUGAAUGGCGAAGCUUAAAUCAUUUAGUAGUGAUGGAAUAUCAGCUGACUCAUGAGUCUUUGUCAAGGAAAAAUAGGUGGAACAUUUGAACUUUGAAGGAAUUCAAUGUUGAUUAUCCAGGCCUUACUAUUUCGUUUCUUGUGCAAAAAUGUGAUAUGGUGUUGUUGUAAUGUAUUCUUGUGUCCCUUUUAUCCAUAGUGGGCCUCUUGUUUAUAUAAUCAUGAUCGGCUUGGUCUCAUCUUAUUUGUCUUUGCAAGCAAUCUAUCCUCAUGCUGUAAUGUUAUGGAAUUUGUGGUGUGGGGGUCAGCGGGAAGCCAGCCAGGUGGGAGAAGAUAUAUUUCCUAGAUUUUGAAACACGAACGAAAUAUAAACAAAUUCCUGAUACAGGACCCAGGUGACUUGAGAGGAUAAAUUAAUGAUUUGUAUAUAAAUUAUGAUGCUUACUUGAGGAUGUGUUGUAGUAGAUGGAAUGCUUUUCUGGGGUUGGAUGUAGUUGAAAUAACAAGAACCCCUGUGGACAUUAACCUUGUUCUUUCUGGGAUUUUUAGACCAUGCUAUACUGCUACACUUAUUCAUUUGAUGAUUGAUUUCGGUAAAGCCUCCCCGUAAUAACUUGGUUGCUUGGUAAGUGGAUUUAUAGCAAAUUUUAGAAUCCAAUCUGUUAUGCUAUUUAAAGAUUCUUCGUCUUUGUUUGCUGAGAGGUCUCCACCCUAUCUUACUGUCUUGCUUAAAAAUUCUUCGUCUUUGUUUGCUUAAAUAAUAAUCUUUUUAUCUUGAAGAAUAUGACUUGCUGAGGAUCUAUAUUGUAUUUGCAUAUAACAUAACCAGUCAGCUGUUUAUUUUAUUUUUUUUCAGUUGCCUUUUUAACAUGUUCUGCCUUGACUGGGUUAGAGUUUUUGAUUUUUGGAAAUGUUAGUGUGCCCAAUGCUAGCGUGUCCAAUAUGUUCUGGUGAUUUGAUAUUAGUCUUACUUUUAGCAAUAUAUUCUCCUUUUACAUGAAUGUUUACUUUUUUAUUUCAUGAUGGAUGUCUAUUUCAUAUGGCUUUUUCCAACCACAUCUGGGGUUUGAUAUCAGAUGGUCUUUUGCAUGACGUAUGCUUGCUUGAAACUUCUUUUAUGAAUAAUAAAAUGAUUUUCUGCAUUAAAAUACACAGUCCUUUUUGGAAGAGCCCAGGUUCAUAUUUCCAUAUAGGCGAACAUGUGGCCCAUUGGUAGAUUUGCAGGGGUGGAACCUAGAGGUCAGUAGUUCAAUUCCUAGAAACAAUCUCUUCACAUAUUAUGGGGGGGUGAGAUCUACAUACAACCUGCUUGCUUGUUUUUGAUCCCGCCCACUGCAAGAGGCUUGUGCAUAUCAGCCAACAGGGCGUUUGUUAAGUAUCUACAUGGGAGACAUCAUGCGGGUUAAGCUAAAAGUCAAAUGAAGCUUGAUUUUACCUGGAAAAGAUCUCCGAUGUUGACGAUAAGAGCAUCUUGAUUUGGUUUUA